AUGCCGAGAAGGUGGCAGGUCUGGGGCCGGCCCGACGGCAGCCAAGUCUGGAUCCCCGCCCCCGACCCCGACGCGCCGCCGCCGCCCGCCGCGGGGAUAGCCGCCGCUUCAUUCGAGGACGCGCCGGUCAAAGGCGGGGGUGCUGCCGACGGAUGCCGCGUCGAGUCCAUGGCCGACCUCCUCGUCCAAGCGCGGAACAAGCUGCUCGAAGGUGAUGGGAUGGCCGGAGCAACCGGGGAUGCAGGAAAAGGUGAGCUGUUCUGCACUGGAUCGGGGAGACCAGUGUCUCUCAGCGAGAGGGCUAUAAGGAGGGCCAGGGCGUUGGUCGGGGAGGAUGUGGAGAGGGCUGGUAUUAAGAGAAAGCAAUCAUUUGGCGAUUUACCUGAUGUAGAGGGCGGAUUGAGAGAAAUGGACGCCCCAUUUAGAGGUGGAGUGCAAAACACCACCAUGCCCCCAUUGUUCCAAACUGGAUCAGGAAAAGCGGCCUUGCUGGGCAGGAACUCAAUCCAAAAGGCAAGAGUUGUUUUAGAAGGUGUGGACGGCAUGGAACAGUUUCCGUUGUUCCAAACUGGUUCAGGAAGAGUUGUAUCAGUCAGUUCAGCAUCUGUUCAGAAAGCUAAGUCUGUGUUGAAGGAUAAUAAUACAAGCGAGGAAAAUAUGGAGAGUUUUGGUAGGCCUAACCAGCCUAUGAUGUUCCAAACUGGUUCAGGAAGACCAGUCACGAUCAGUGAAAGAUCCAUUGAGAGAUCUAGAGCUGCGGUGAAUAAGGGAGAUGCGGAAAAGAGUGGACAUUGGGAUACUGGUUGCCAGUUCCCAAUGUUCCAAACAGGAUUAGGGAAGCCUGUUGCUGUGAGCUGGAGCGCAGUUCAGAAGGCAAGGGCAGUAUUGGAGGAAGAAAAAAUUAAAACAACUGGACAUGGAGAUAGCAGUGUUUAUGCCACAACUCUUCAAAGUGAAACGCCAAGGUCUGUUUUGAUGAGUAGCAGUUUGAUCAUGACUGAUAGAAGUGUUACACCAAAUGGAGAUAGUGCAAUGCAAGUCACUCGAAUGGAGAAAAAUCAUGAGGGUGGCAACCACUUGCCGUUGUUUCAAACUGGGUUAGGGAGGUCAAUUGCUAUAAGUAAGAGCUCAGUUAAGAGGGCAACUGCAGUUCUAGAGCCAAGGAAUAUUGCAAAGGAAUUGGAAGAUGAAGCUCAUUUAGAUGGUGGCCAUGACACUUCCAUGUUCAAAACUGGAUUAGGAAGGUCUAUCUUGGCAAGUGAUGGCUGUAGAAAUGAAUUGUGUAUCUUAGAGGCUGAAGAAGCAGUCAAAAGUGUAAACAAUUGCAAUGGAGAAGCCUUUGUUGAAGAGGCAGCGUUCCAAGCUGGAAUACAAAAGUUUGUACCCCAAAAUAGAAGUUCAAGUCAUAAGGCCAGUAUGCUUUUGGAGCAACGAAACUUCAUGGAGAAAGGAUACGAAGACUGUGGAAGUCAACUGCCAAUGUUUCAAACCGGAUCUGGAAAGUCAGUCUUGAUUAGUGAAACCUCAGUGCAGAAAGCAAAGGUUGUUCUGGAGGAAGAAGUCAAAAUAAACAGAGAUAAUCAUAAUCUCCUUAACUUGGACAAAAAUAUUCCUGUCUUUGCUUCACCUCUCAAGACAAGCUGUGCAAAAACAGUUAAUAUAUCUUCAGCUGGUGUAUCUCGAGCUGCUACUUUGUUGGGCUUGGAGGAGAAUACCCUUUCAACACAAUUUUUUGGACAUGUGGGCGAUAAGCUAGGCACUAAAAUAAAUUUUGAGCGGAAAAAUCCAGAACAGAGGCUUGAUCUUGCAUCUUGUUCAACAGAAAACCAAGUGCAUAAGGAACCACACCGGCCAUUUGAACUUUCUAAUAACACAGUUUCUGAUUCUGGUGAGCAUUCUAUCAGAUUCAGUACCGCGGGAGGCAGAUCAGUGGCUAUUUCUAGUGAUGCACUUCAACGCGCGAGAAGCCUUCUCGGCGAAUCUGAUCUUGUGGUUUCAACAAAUAAUUUAGUAGGCCGCCCUUUGGCAUCUGCAUGUAAUGUUGAGAUGCCAAAUUCAACCGUUGCCCCAAAAGGUGGACCUGAUUUAUCAAAAAUAAGUAGGGUCAAUGGGAAAACCGAAGUUGCAACAUUUUCCCACCAGACAAUGUCUGGUAGGAAGCACACCGGAUCCUCUAAAAAUGCUGCACCUGCUAUCCCGGCGACUAACAAACCACCCAAUAUGUUUCAUGUUGGGAGUCGUUCAAUCAGUGAAAUUCCAAAGGUCCCGAAGCCCUCUUCCAUGUGUUUAUCUGAAACUGACAGUGCAAAUGACACUAAAAAUAAGGCCCAGCGACUCCAUAUGCCAGCUGGAGCGUUGGUUGACAUUAGUAACAUCAUGGGUACACAUUCUGGAAAUAUUGACCAUGCUGUUAAUGAGAAGAGAAGAAGUGGGGGAAGCAACUCUGCAUCUUCGUUUAAACGCCCCCGCUCAUCCAGGUCCUUUGAUUUGCAUCCCUGUUAG
rnacentral:rRNA from 1 species